CCUACGGGCGGCUGCAGUGAGGAAUAUUGGUCAAUGGCCGUAAGGCUGAACCAGCCAAGUCGCGUGAAGGAAGAAGGAUCUAUGGUUUGUAAACUUCUUUUAUAUGGGAAUAAAGAUAUCCACGUGUGGAUAUUUGCAUGUACCCUAUGAAUAAGCAUCGGCUAACUCCGUGCCAGCAGCCGCGGUAAUACGGAGGAUGCGAGCGUUAUCCGGAUUUAUUGGGUUUAAAGGGUGCGUAGGUUGUUUUUUAAGUCAGCGGUGAAAGUUCGUGGCUCAACCAUAAAAUUGCCGUUGAUACUGGAAGACUAGAGAGUGGUUGAGGUAGGCGGAAUGUGUGGUGUAGCGGUGAAAUGCAUAGAGAUCACGCAGAACACCGAUUGCGAAGGCAGCUUACUAAGCCAUAACUGACACUGAAGCACGAAAGCGUGGGGAGCAAACAGGAUUAGAUACCCGUGUAGUC
rnacentral:rRNA from 1 species